CGUAACACGUGAGCAACCUACCGAACUGUGGGGGGAUAGCCGGCCUAACGGCCGAGUAAUACCGCAUACGCUUUCAGUGAGGCAUUUCAUUGAAAGGAAACCUACGGGACAGAUCGAGGGGCUCGCGGCCUAUCAGCUAGUUGGCGAGGUAACGGCUCACCAAGGCAACGACGGGUAGCUGGUCUGAGAGGAUGGCCAGCCACAUUGGGACUGAGAUACGGCCCAG
rnacentral:rRNA from 1 species